GCUCAACCGUGGAGGGUCAUUGGAAACUGGGGAACUUGAGUGCGUAAGAGGAGAGUGGAAUUCCCCGUGUAGCGGUGAAAUGCGUAGAGAUGUGGAGGAACACCAGUGGCGAAGGCGACUCUCUGGUCUGUAACUGACGCUGAGGCGCGAAAGCGUGGGGAGCGAACAGGAUUAGAUACCCUGGUAUCCCACGCCGUAAACGAUGAUUGCUAAGUGUGUGAGGGUUUCCGCCCUUUAGUGCUGCAGCUAACGCAUUAAGCACUCCGCCUGGGGAGUACGGUCGCAAGACUGAAACUCAAAGGAAUUGACGGGGGCCCGCACAAGCGGUGGAGCAUGUGGUUUAAUUCGAAGCAACGCGAAAGAACCUUACCAGGGUCUUGACAUCCUUUGAUCACUCGAGAGAUUGGGCUUCCCCUUCGGGAACAAAGAGACAGGUGGUGCAUGGUUGUCGUCAGCUCGUGUCGUGAGGUGUUGGGUUAAGUCUCGCAACGAGCGCAACCCUUGAUCUUAGUUGCCACUAUUAAGUUGGGCACUCUAACAGUGACUGCCGUGUGACAAACCGGAAAAGAGUGGAUAUGACGUCAAAUCAUCAUGCCCCUAUAUGACCUGCGCUACACACGUGCUACAAUGCAUGGUACAAAG
rnacentral:rRNA from 1 species